rnacentral:rRNA from 1 species
GGGGAAUUUUGCGCAAUGGGGGAAACCCUGACGCAGCAACGCCGCGUGAGCGAUGAAGGUUUUCGGAUCGUAAAGCUCUGUCUUUGGGGAAGAUAAUGACGGUACCCAAGGAGGAAGCUCCGGCUAACUACGUGCCAGCAGCCGCGGUAAUACGUAGGGAGCAAGCGUUGUCCGGAUUCACUGGGCGUAAAGAGCACGUAGGCGGUUAAUUAAGUCAGGUGUGAAAGUUUUCGGCUCAACCGGAAAAGUGCACUUGAAACUGGAUAACUUGAGUAUCGGAGAGGUAAGCGGAAUUCCUAGUGUAGCGGUGAAAUGCGUAGAGAUUAGGAAGAACACCGGUGGCGAAGGCGGCUUACUGGACGAUAACUGACGCUGAGGUGCGAAAGCGUGGGGAGCGAACA